rnacentral:rRNA from 1 species
AGAGUUUGAUUAUGGCUCAGGAUGAACGCUGGCGGCGUGCUUAACACAUGCAAGUCGAACGGAGCUUAGAAGGAAGCUUGCUUUCAUUUAAGCUUAGUGGCGGACGGGUGAGUAACGCGUGAGUAACCUGCCCUUGAGAGGGGAAUAACAUCGAGAAAUCGGUGCUAAUACCGCAUAAUGUCGGAGUACCGCAUGACAUUCCGACCAAAGAUUUUUAUCGCUCAAGGAUGGACUCGCGUCCGAUUAGCUGGUUGGUGAGGUAACGGCCCACCAAGGCUUCGAUCGGUAGCCGAACUGAGAGGUUGAUCGGCCACAUUGGGACUGAGACACGGCCCAGACUCCUACGGGAGGCAGCAGUGGGGAAUAUUGGGCAAUGGGCGCAAGCCCUGACCCAGCAACGCCGCGUGAAGGAUGAAGGUCUUCGGAUUGUAAACUUCUUUGAUUGGGGAAGAAUAAAUGACCUACCCAAAGAACAAGCCACGGCUAACUACGUGCCAGCCGCCGC